CACGUAGGGGACGAGCGUUGUCCGGAUUUAUUGGGCGUAAAGAGCUCGUAGGCGGCUAAGUAAGUCAGGUGUGAAAACUCCAGGCUCAACCUGGAGACGCCACCUGAUACUGCUUUGGCUAGAGUCCGGUAGGGGAGCAUGGAAUUCCUGGUGUAGCGGUGAAAUGCGCAGAUAUCAGGAGGAACACCAGUGGCGAAGGCGGUGCUCUGGGCCGGAACUGACGCUGAGGAGCGAAAGCGUGGGGAGCAAACAGG
rnacentral:rRNA from 1 species